rnacentral:rRNA from 1 species
GACGAACCGUGCGAACGUUAUUCGGAAUCACUGGGCUUAAAGCGCGUGUAGGCGGGGCGGUGCGUCGGCCGCUGAAAUCCCCCGGCUCAACCGGGGAAGGGGCGCCGAGACGACCGCCCUGGAGCGACGUAGGGGGGACUGGAACUUCCGGUGGAGCGGUGAAAUGCGUUGAGAUCGGAAGGAACGCCCGUGGCGAAAGCGAGUCCCUGGACGUCGGCUGACGCUGAGACGCGAAAGCCAGGGGAGCAAACGGG